rnacentral:precursor_RNA from 15 species
CCAGCUCAGAGCUCACAGCGGGUACAGCCGUACUCUACGCUUUUGGGAACGAGCAAUCAUACAAAGCCACUCGGUUCCAUAGCCGUUGAGUAGAGCUGCCCCCGUUUGCACAUCACAACAAGAA